UACGUAGGGAGCAAGCGUUGUCCGGAAUCAUUGGGCGUAAAGCGCGCGUAGGUGGCCUCAUAAGUCCGCUGUGAAAGUCAAAGGCUCAACCUUUGAAUGUCAGUGGAUACUGCCGGGCUAGAGUCCGGAAGAGGCGAGUGGAACUCCUGGUGUAGCGGUGGAAUGCGCAGAUAUCAGGAAGAACACCGACGGCGAAGGCAGCUCGCUGGGACGGUACUGACGCUGAGGCGCGAAAGCGUGGGGAGCGAACAGG
rnacentral:rRNA from 1 species